UACGUAGGCAGCGAGCGUUGUUCGGAGUUACUGGGCGUAAAGCGUGCGUAGGCGGUGUCUUAAGUUUGUUGUGAAAUCUCCCGGCUUAACCGGGAGGGUGCGGCGAAUACUGAGAUGCUGGAGUGCCGGAGAGGUAAGCGGAAUUCCUGGUGUAGCGGUGAAAUGCGUAGAUAUCUGGAGGAACACCGGUGGCGAAGGCGGCAUUCUGGACCAUAACUGACACUGAGAGACGAAAGCCAGGGGAGCAAACGGG
rnacentral:rRNA from 1 species